UACGUAGGGUGCAAGCGUUGUCCGGAAUUAUUGGGCGUAAAGAGCUCGUAGGCGGUCUGUCACGUCGGCUGUGAAAACCCGGGGCUCAACCCCCGGGCCUGCAGUCGAUACGGGCAGACUAGAGUGCGGUAGGGGAGACUGGAAUUCCUGGUGUAGCGGUGAAAUGCGCAGAUAUCAGGAGGAACACCGGUGGCGAAGGCGGGACUCUGGGCCGAUACUGACGCUGAGGAGCGAAAGCGUGGGGAGCAAACAGG
rnacentral:rRNA from 1 species